CAAGCCAGAUGAGUGUGCGAACAACAUCUGCUUGUGAGCCGCUUAUGGGACGUCCAUAAAAGUCAGGUUGAGGUAUUUCUUCGAUUGUUGAUACUUGACAAGAAGAUGUAAUGAGAGGAAGACAAGCAGGUGCAUUGUCAGGAGUUCUGAUCACAUCUCUCGAGUUCAAGCGACCGUCUGGAGCCUGGCAGGAACGUCGGCGGUGGUAUUCUGGAUUCCACAUUUGAAAAACAAUGGAAGCAACCGAGACUGAAGGAAGCCUCUGGAAGGAAGGCUGAGGAGACCCAUGCUCCUGAUCCUGCACAGUGGAAGGAAGGACAUGGGGGUGGGGGUCUGAUGGAUGAGAGGCUCCCCACUUCCCCCCUGGGGACAUUCACUUCCAGGAGAGGGUACUGGGGCAUCAGGUCACAGAGCAGAG
rnacentral:lncRNA from 13 species